rnacentral:rRNA from 1 species
AUACGGAGGAUCCGAGCGUUAUCCGGAUUUAUUGGGUUUAAAGGGUGCGCAGGCGGCCAUUUAAGUCAGCGGUUAAAUCGUGGGGCUCAACCCCAUUCUGCCGUUGAUACUGGGUGGCUUGAUUGCGGUCGAGGUUGGCGGAAUUCGUUGUGUAGCGGUGAAAUGCAUAGAUAUGACGAAGAACACCGAUUGCGUAGGCAGCUGACCAGACCGCAAAUGACGCUCAUGCACAAAAGUGCGGGGAUCGAACAGGAUUAGAUACCCUGGUAGUCCGCACAGUAAACGAUGAAUACUUGUUUUCGGCGAUAUAAUGUCGGAGGCAAAGCGAAAGCGAUAAGUAUUCCACCUGGGGAGUACGCCGGCAACGGUGAAACUCAAAUGAAUUGACGGGG